GACGAACGCUGGCGGCGUGCCUAAUACAUNCAAGUCGAGCGCGGGAAGCCGGACAGAUCCCUUCGGGGUGNCGACCGGUGGAACGAGCGGCGGAUGGGUGAGUAACACGUGGGUAACCUGCCUGUAAGCCUGGGAUAACUCGCGGAAACGCGAGCUAAUACCGGAUGCGCCUUUUGUUCGCAUGAACGAAAGGUAAAAGACGGCUUUUGCUGUCACUUACAGAUGGGCCCGCGGCGCAUUANCUAGUUGGUGAUGUAACGGCUCACCAAAGCGACGAUGNGUAGCCGACCUGAGAGGGUGAUCGGCCACACUGGGACUGAGACACGGCCCAGACUCCUACGGGAGGCAGCAGUAGGGAAUAUUCCGCAAUGGGCGAAAGCCUGACGGAGCGANCGCCGCGUGAGCGAUGAAGGUCUUCGGAUCGUAAAGCUCUGUUGUUAGGGAAGAACAAGUACCGGAGUAACUGCCGGUACC
rnacentral:rRNA from 1 species